rnacentral:rRNA from 1 species
UACGUAGGGGGCGAGCGUUGUCCGAAAGUUACUGGGCGUAAAGCGCACGUAGGCGGCCCUGUAAGUUACAUCUGAAAGGUGACAGCUCAACUGUCAAUGGUGGUGUAAGACUGCAGGAGCUUGAGGUGAGCAAAAGAAUGUGGAACUCCGAGUGUAGCGGUGGAAUGCGUAGAGAUUCGGAAGAACACCCAUGGCGAAGGCAGCAUUCUGGGCUCGAACCUGAACGCUGAGGAGCGAAAGCCAGGGGAGCCGAACGGG